rnacentral:rRNA from 1 species
GAUGAACGCUGACAGAAUGCUUAACACAUGCAAGUCUACCAAGAAUCAAUUCGGUGAGGAAUGGUGGCGGACGGGUGAGUAACCCGUAAAUAAUCUGCUCUUUAGACUGGGACAUCGUUUGGAAACGACGGCUAAGACCGGAAUUUAUGAGAUGGACGCAUGUUCAACUUCUGCGAGCUAAAUGCACUAGAGGAGGAGUUUGCGUCCAAUUAGCUAGUUGGUGAGGUAAAGGCUCACCAAGGCCACGAUGGGUAGCCGGCCUGAGGGGGUGAACGGCCAAAAGGGAACUGAGACACGGUCCUUACUCCUACGGGAGGCAGCAUUGGGUAAUAUUGGACAAUUGACCAAAAGUCUGAUCCAGCAAUUCUGUGUGCACGAUGAAGGUCUUCGGAUUGUAAAGUGCUUUCAGUAGGGAAGAAAAAAAUGACGGUACCUACAGAAGAAGCGACGGCUAAAUAUGUGCCAGCAGCCGCGGUAA